AUAAAUUCUGAGAUUAGCAGAAAUUGAUUUAUACCCCAAAUAUAAUUUUUCUUGCUAAAUCAGGGAUUUACUCGUGCCGGAUCGGAGCUACGCGUGCUGGAAGCGACUGGACAGCCUGAGAUCGACGCAGGAGUUGAGCUGCAGUGGUGGCGCUGUGCGAUCUGGUGGCGGAGCAGCUGGUGGCGCAACUGCAGGCUCGACAGAUCUGCUCCUGGAGGUCGGCAGCGCGCUGGAGCUGCAACAAGGCUGAGCACACGGAGGAACAGUGGCGGAGCUGUGGCUGGGUUUGCAAGGAGCAGCAAUCGAGCGGAGGAAAACGGCUGUGGCGUGCGACGGAGUACGAUCGAGCUGGUGGGGGCGCAAUCUGCUUCUGCCAGCAGUGGAGUCGCAAGCGCAGGAAAGAAAAGGAAAGAAAAAGAAAGAAAAGAACAGAAAGAAAAAAAAAAGAAGAAGAAGAAGAGGUGGCGGUGCUGCGUUGGUGGUCAGGGGGUGCAAAAAAAAAUGAGGGAGUGAGGUGAGCGCUGGAAAUAAGGGGAGAGGGGAGAGUUCUAGAAGUGGUUUGGGCUGAUUCGAUUCAACUCUGGUUCGAUUCAGCCCAAAUCUUGGUUUUUAUUUGAUUUGUCAAUUAUCCAUUGAUUUUCGAUUCGGUUUAUCGCUGUACAAAUUAUUAAUUUGCAUGUAAAUAAUUACAUACAUUUUCCACGCUGUCAGUUUAUUAAAUUUAAAUGAAAAAUCUUUGAAAAUAAAAAUUCGGGUUGUUUCAUAUAGCAUCAAUGGAAU